AUUGAACGCUGGCGGCAGGCCUAACACAUGCAAGUCGAACGGUAACAGGAAGAAGCUUGCUUCUUUGCUGACGAGUGGCGGACGGGUGAGUCAUGUCUGGGAAACUGCCUGAUGGAGGGGGAUAACUAUUGGAAACGGUAGCUAAUACCGCAUAACGUCUCAAGCCUAAAGAGGGGGACCUUCGGGCCUCUUGCCAUCGGUUGUGCCCAGAUGGGAUUGGCUAGUUGGUGGGCUAACGGCUCACCUAGGCGACGAUCCCUAUCUGGUCUGAGAGGAUGACCGGCCACACUGGAACUGAGACACGGUCCAGACUGAGAAGGGAGGCAGCAGUGGGGAAUAUUGGACAAUGGGCGCAAGCCUGCUGCAGCGAUGGCGCGUGUAUGAAGAAGGCCUUCGGGGUGUAAAGUAGUUUCAGCGGGGAUGAAGAGAGUAAAGUUAAUACCAUGGCUCAUUGACGUUACCCGGAGAAGAAGCACCGGCUAACUCCGUG
rnacentral:rRNA from 1 species